rnacentral:rRNA from 1 species
AAAAGAAACUAACAAGGAUUCCCCUAGUAACGGCGAGUGAAGAGGGAAGAGCUCAAAUUUUAAAUCUGCCUUGUUCCAAGGUCGAGUUGUAAUUUGAAGAAGCGUUUUCUUGGGCUCGCGGCCGGUAGAAGUUCUUUGGAACAGGACAUCAUAGAGGGUGACAAUCCCGUCCGUGACCGGUCGUGCGUUCAUCUACGAUACGCUUUCAAAGAGUCGAGUUGUUUGGGAUUGCAGCUCCAAAUGGGUGGUAAACAUCACCUAAGGCUAAAUAUUGGCGAGAGACCGAUAGCGAACAAGUACCGUGAGGGAAAGAUGAAAAGAACUUUGAAAAGAGAGUUAAACAGUACGUGAAAUUGUUGAAAGGGAAACGAUUGAAGUCAGUCGUGCUGGCGCGAAAUCAACCCUCUCGUCUUGAGAUCACGCGGCGUGGCGAGCCUCAAAACCGUCACGAAGCGUGAACUCUUGACGAGGAGGUGCACUUUCGUGUCCGCUGGUUAACAUCAAUUUCGAACGUCAUAAAAAGGCUGGAGGGAUGUGGCUCCUUCGGGAGUGUUAUAACCUUUABCGGAAUGUGGUGUUCGGGAUUGAGGAUUGCAACGAAUACCUUUAGGGCUGUUCCACCUGGCUUCUCNUUGGCACCCUGGUGACAACAGCUUGCUGACGUCGUUAGGGACCGCCUUUGAACAGGCUANAGUGUGAGCAAAUUCGUUAAGGAUGU